AUGGCCAAGUACUGGUGGGCGAGCUCUUUGGACAAGCGAUCCCUUCAUUGGGGUUCCUGGAAGAAUCUUGCAACACCUAAAGCAAAGGGCGGGAUGGGCUUCAAGGACUUACACUUAUUUAAUCUAGCCAUGCUAGGGAAGGAAGGAUGGCGUUUGAUCACUCAUCCAGACUCCCUCUGCUCCAGAGUUCUGAAGGGAAAGUAUUUCCUGCUGAUAGAUUUCAAAAAUGCUAGUGCCCCAUUUCGGUCUUCAACCACCUGGAAAGCCAUUAUAGCAGGACGGAAGGCCCUCGACACGGGACUUAUCAAACGCGUCGGGGAUGGUUCGUUGAUCUCGACGUGGACAGAUCGAUGGAUCCCUAGUACCAUCUCUAUGAAAGCUACAGGUCGCAUUGGUGAUGCCCAACUUGACAGCGUUUCAGACUUGAUUGACAACUACACAAGAGGUUGGAAAGUGGAAGUUCUAAGGCAGAAUUUCCUCCACCCAGAUGCAGAGGCCAUAUUGAACAUUCCCUUGAAUUCUGCGGGAGGCGAAGAUACAAUUGUUUGGGCCCUCAAAAAAUCCGGCAUCUACUCUGUUAAAUCAGCGUAUCAUUCUCUUGUGACUCACAACGAGCUUGGCACUCUAAAGGAAGGGACGAUCACAGAAACCUCAAGGACAGAUAAACAGACGUGGGAUGCUCUUUGGAAACUUCAUGUGGUACCCAAAGUACGAGUCUUCUGGUGGCGAGUUUUGAGAGGUAUCCUUCUGGACUCGGUCACUCUUUAG
rnacentral:rRNA from 1 species